rnacentral:tRNA from 1 species
GCGCCCGUAGCUCAACUGGACAGAGCAACUGCCUUCUAAGCAGUAGGUUUCAGGUUCAAGUCCUGACGGGCGUA